rnacentral:misc_RNA from 1 species
UCCGGUUAUCAAUAUGGAGUUCGUUUAACACGUGCUUGUGUUUAUAUUUCGUUCGUAUAAAGGAAAGAUGCAAGUCUCCAACCCAAAUAAUGUUAAGAUCUACAACUUAAGUGCUGGAAAAUCUCUCCCUGAAUGGUUGUCAGACAGGAAGAAAAGAAAGCUACGGAAAAGUGAUGUUGAUAUUCAAAGAAGGAUAGAACUUAUUCAAGACUUUGAGAUGCCAGCAGUGAGUCGAUGUGUCCAGGUGUCUAGAGAUGGACAGUACAUACUGACCACAGGUACUUACAAGCCUCGAGUACGAUGUUAUGACGUCCACCAAUUGUCCCUCAAGUUUGAGCGAGGGCUAGAUGCUGAAGUCCUCAAGUUCUUGGUUCUCUCGGAGGACUACACAAAGGUGCUGUUCCUGGAGGAUGAGAGAUACGUGGAGUUCCACACACAGUUUGGUCGUCACUACCGAACCCGGAUUCCCAAGUAUGGCCGCGACCUGGCAUACCACUACCCCAGUUGUGAUGUCUACUUUGUGGGUGUGAGCCCUGAAAUCUACCGAUUGAACCUGGAACAUGGCCGCUUUCUGUCUCCCCUGGUCACCAGCGCUACAGAAAUAAACUGCUGUGAAUUCAACCCUAUGCACCAGCUGUUUGCCUGUGGAACAAAAGAGGGCCAUGUUGAAUGCUGGGACCCAAGGUCAAGGACUCGAGCAGGCAUCCUUGACACUGCACUCAGCACCCAUGUUGAAGACUUGGAUGUGAGUGUCGUUCCAUCCGUGACAGCACUUAAGUACCGAGAUGGACUCAACCUGGCUGUGGGCACCAGUACUGGACAUGUUCUCAUGUAUGACAUUCGCUGGGACAAGCCAGUUUUGGUGAAGGAUCACAUGUAUGAACUUCCCAUCAAGGACAUCGAGUUCCAGCAGAGCCAGGACCUCGUCCUUUCCAUGGACACCAAGAUACUCAAACUAUGGGACCGUCAGACGGGUAAACCAUUCACAGCCAUCGAGCCUGGAACAGACCUAAAUGACUUUUGCCAGGUUCCUGAUUCAGGGCUGUUGUUCAUGGCAAAUGAAGCUCCCAAAAUAUAUUCCUUCUACAUUCCUAGUCUGGGAACCGCUCCCCGAUGGUGUUCCUUCCUAGACAACCUCACCGAGGAGUUGGAGGAGAGCUCCACCCCAGCAGUGUAUGAUGACUACAAGUUUGUCACCCGUCUUGAGCUGGAAGAGCUUGGCCUGGGACAUCUUGUCGGAUCGAAUCUUCUGCGGGCCUAUAUGCAUGGCUUCUUUAUGGAUGUGAGACUGUACCACAAGGCCAAAGCCAUAGCCGAGCCGUUUGCCUACCAGACCUACAGGAAGAGCAAGAUCCGAGAAAAGAUUGAUGAGGAAAGAACAAACAGGGUCAAGUUGAAGAAGCUGCCCAAGGUGAACCGUGACUUGGCCGAGAAACUGAUUGCUGAAGCCGAGGACACUGCUGUGGACAGGAGAAAGAAGAAGCGACCAACAGAGAGCCUUCUGGAGGACAAGCGAUUCUCUGCUAUCUUCAGCAACCCUGACUUCCAUAUCGACCAAUCCAGCGAAGAGUUCCGACUUCUCAACCCUGUUCUGUCGAAACGCGUGAACGCAGCAAGAAAACAGAGGUCACAGAAUCAUUCACGGAGGUUGAGGAGAUGGAGGGGAGAGGCAGUGACGAGGAGAGCAGCAGCUCGGAUGAUGAGCGCACAUGGACACAGGAAGUCAAGGAGCAACAUCGCAAGCUGCAGCGUGAGAAGCGACUACAAGAACGACGGGAGAUGCAGGAAGCGCAUAUCAAACCUAAAUUCUACGAGAUGAAGGAGGCUGAGGAAAUGAAGUCUGUCCACGAUAGGCAGAGGAGGAAAGAGAUGAAGAUGAGUCUGUCUGAUCGUCUGGCCACCGAGGACAGCAUCAAAGUCUCAGAUGGAGGCUCCAUUGGAAACAAAGAGAUGACCUUCACCUUCAAGAAG